GAAAGAAUAAUACAAUGGGGAUUUCUUUAAGACUGAAGAAACAACAACAGACACAUGGGCAGGAUAAAUAAUAUGAAGGACAGAGCACAGUUAACAAAGAUAGCCUUGGAAUGCAUGCCAAACAGAGUUACAGAUACUCAAGUGGUGACAAACUUUACUGGUGAUAUGCAACCACAGCAAAAGAGAAUUGUACCACAGCCAACAAUCUAGCAUUUCUUCCAAGUUCUAGAGUGUAAGACACAGGAGCACAAGGACCUUGGGGAUGCUGCUGAAUGACUAACUACAACUCAGAGUUAAAAAGAUAAGAAUAC